rnacentral:lncRNA from 1 species
AUACAAGCAUGAAACUUUGUAAGAACAUGCCUUUAGGUGUAUGUAAUCAUAUUAGGGGGUAGCCACGAAAAAAAAUCAUCCGAUCAUGGCGGCCAUCUUGGAUUUUCGAAAUGACGUCUUCACAGGGAAAAGACAUCAUAUUUAUGGCCCGUUUUGCUUGUAUUGUAUCCAAAAUGUUACAAAAUGGAGUAAAUCAUUGUUAUAUAAGAUAAAGUAUCACUUUCGGUCAAAUAUCGGUCGAUAACCCACUCCUGGUUUUAUGAAUAUCCCGAAUAUGACUGUUUUAUAACCCGAAUAAUGUCAGUUGUUAUAUUCCACAAAUCUUCGACUAAUCUUCGAUUGCUACAUUAGGUUCGAUAGGUUAUAGGCAAUUUUAUUCUAGUUAACCUUUUUGAGAGUGUGUGUUCUCAUUGUUAUAAGACGUGGCUCGGUACUUGUCUAUCCA